rfam:Triticum aestivum genome assembly, contig: Triticum_aestivum_CS42_TGACv1_scaffold_021292_1AS
UAGGUACUCCCUCCGUCCGAAAAAACUUGUCCCUCAAAUGGAUGUAUCUAGCACCAACUUGGUGCUAGAUACAUCCAUUUGAGGAACGAGCUUGGGACAAGCUUUUCCAGACGGAGGGAGUAUAAC